rnacentral:rRNA from 1 species
UAACACAUGCAAGUCGAGGGGCAUCGGGAUUGAAGCUUGCUUCAAUUGCCGGCGACCGGCGCACGGGUGCGUAACGCGUAUGUAACCUACCUAUAACAGGGGCAUAACACUGAGAAAUUGGUACUAAUUCCCCAUAAUAUUCGGAGAGGCAUCUCUCCGGGUUGAAAACUCCGGUGGUUAUAGAUGGACAUGCGUUGUAUUAGCUAGUUGGUGAGGUAACGGCUCACCAAGGCAACGAUACAUAGGGGGACUGAGAGGUUAACCCCCCACACUGGUACUGAGACACGGACCAGACUCCUACGGGAGGCAGCAGUGAGGAAUAUUGGUCAAUGGACGCAAGUCUGAACCAGCCAUGCCGCGUGCAGGAAGACGGCUCUAUGAGUUGUAAACUGCUUUUGUACGAGGGUAAACUCACCUACGUGUAGGUGACUGAAAGUAUCGUACGAAUAAGGAUCGGCUAACUCCGUGCCAGCAGCCGCGGUAAUACGGAGGAUUCAAGCGUUAUCCGGAUUUAUUGGGUUUAAAGGGUGCGUAGGCGGUUUGAUAAGUUAGAGGUGAAAUCCCGGGGCUUAACUCCGGAACUGCCUCUAAUACUGUUAGACUAGAGGGUAGUUGCGGUAGGCGGAAUGUAUGGUGUAGCGGUGAAAUGCUUAGAGAUCAUACAGAACACCGAUUGCGAAGGCAGCUUACCAAACUAUAUCUGACG